rnacentral:rRNA from 1 species
AUGUUUGAGAGGCCAACCGAUGGCAAGGGGCGUCUUAUGACGGCGGAAGACGGCGGGCUGGGAUUCGCUGCCGUGGUUGAUGUCACAAAUCUAACCCUGUGGUCAAUGCAUACCGGAUGGGAGGCAGCCAUGAGAUGGGCAAAACUCAGGGUAAUCGACCUUACAACGCUGCUCCCUGACGAGGCCCUCUCGAUGCCGGCACCUGAAGAUGGGAUUAGUGGCAUCGCGGAGGGCACCCAAAUCAUUUUUCUGAGCACAUCUGUUGGUACCAGCAGAAUUGUGUUUCCCUACAUGAGAUUCUACAUCCCAGCAAUGGAAGCACCUUGUACUGGCCAGGGGGAGUGA